GCAUCCAUGGCUUAAUGGUUAAAGCGCCCAACUCAUAACAUAAUUGGCGAAUUUGUAGGUUCAAUUCCUGCUGGAUGCA
rnacentral:tRNA from 1 species